rnacentral:misc_RNA from 1 species
GAUGAAGAACGGAGCGAAAUGCGAUAAGUAAUGUGAAUUGCAGAAUUCAGUGAACCAUCGGAUCUUUGAACGCAUCUUGCGCUCCUUGGUAUUCUGAGGAGCAUGCCUGUUUGAGUGUCAUUAAAUUCUCAACUACACUGACUUUGAAUUGGUGUGGCUUGGAUUUGGGGGGAAAAUUGUUGUGGGCUUUUUGUAUAGUCUGCUCCCCUGAAAUUGAUUAGCGGUACCUUUGUGGAACUGUCUACAGGUGUGAUAAUUAUCUACAUCUUAGACAUCUGCUGGAAUGCUGCUUUCUAAACCUUACUUGUAUUGACAAUCUUGACCUCAAAUCAGGUAGGACUACCCGCUGAACUUAAGCAUAUCAAUAAGCGGAGGA